GGGACGGACACGGAAGCGGUGUGGAAGAGGAGGAAGGGGGAACGGACGGAACUUCCGGCGGACACGCAGACGAGUAAAGCCUGAUUUUACCUGUGAGGAUGUCCGUUUCAAUUAUAAUCAAGUGGAGUGGGCAGGAAUACCCAGUAACAAAACUGACGGAAGAGGACACUGUGCUGGACCUGAAGGAGACGAUUAAAACUCUAACAGGGGUGCUGCCGGAGCGGCAGAAAUUACUUGGCCUGAAAAUCAAAGGUAAAGCUGCAGAAGAUGACGUUAAGCUGGGCGUGCUUAAACUGAAACCAAAUACUAAGAUUAUGAUGAUGGGCAGUAGGGAAGAGUGCCUGGAGGAAGUACUGGCGCCGCCCCCCGACAAUGACGAUGUCGUCAAUGACUUUGACAUUGAGGAGGAUGUUAUAGAAGUAGAGAACAGGGAAGAGAACUUGGCCAAAAUUGCACGUAGAGUGAAAGAUUAUAAAGUAGAGGUACUAAACCAACCUCGGGAAGGGAAAAAGCUGCUCGUUUUAGAUGUUGACUACACAUUAUUUGAUCACAGAUCCUGUGCUGAGAGCGGACUUGAGCUAAUGAGGCCGUACCUGCAUGAGUUUCUCACAUCUGCGUACGAAGAUUAUGACAUUGUUAUAUGGUCUGCUACCAGCAUGAAGUGGAUUGAAGUGAAAAUGAAAGAACUCGGAGUUACAACACAUGCUAACUACAAGAUAACCUUCAUGUUGGACAGUGCAGCUAUGAUCACAGUACAUACACCUAAGAGAGGAGUGGUGGAGGUCAAACCACUGGGUGUCAUAUGGGAUAAAUUUCCAGAGUUCUACACUAGAAAGAAUACAAUAAUGUUUGAUGACAUUGGUCGAAACUUUUUGAUGAAUCCGCAAAAUGGGCUAAAGAUUAGACCUUUCAUGAAGGCUCACCUCAACCGAGAUAAAGACAGGGAGCUCCUGAAACUGUCCCAGUACCUAAAGGAGAUUGGCAAGCUAGAUGACUUCACGGAUCUUAAUCAUAAACACUGGGAAAGGUAAGGACGUCUCCUACCUCCCACUGUGCAUGCUGUCGAACAACAAGGGCCAUGGUUCAGCUGUUAGCAUCUCCGCAUGUGCUCCAGUUGCUGAAUGAUGUCAACAUCUUUCCUUGGCAGGGAGUCUUCAAUAAGGACAGACCCCAAACUCUGCCACUUCACAUCAUGAUAUCUCUCUAAGAAGCAUGGACAGUGAGCCCGAGUGGAUCUCUCUGUCCUAGGUUGUGCGCUCUUCAGAAGUACAUGAGAAACUUUAACUGUGAUUGAACUCAGAACAAGUGCUGAGCACUGCAACAGUCAAAAACGAAAAAAAAAACACAACGCCAAAGGGACUUAUCAACUGAAGUGCUACCUGCAACUUUCUUUAUCCUUCUGUCCUCUCCAAUGCUGGUCCUUCAAGGGACAAGUGAAUUGAACAAAGGACAAUGUGCUUCAGCAAAAUACUGUCACACCUUGUGCAUACAUAGGAACAUGUUCCUGCUGCAUUGCCAUUUAUCUCUGUCUAAGUGUAGCUUCCUUGCUUUGUCGUGAGGUUGGUUGAAACCAGAAGUAUGUUGAUUGCAGGUUACUUCAUGCAAGAGUAAGUUGUUUUUUUUUGACAAGCAGCCCUUGUGUGCUGAGUUUGGAUCAUAUACAUGAUAAAACAUUGAAUUUGUACACAUACAAUUUCAGUAUGACCCAGAUUUUCAGAGAGGGAAUGUUUUAAACUUUCCCCCCAUGAGCUCCUGUGCAAUGGCAGGCAUACUGGCCUAUGUGGCCUUUACCCCAGUACAAACUCCUCAUUCCUAAGUCCUACUUUCAGCUAGUGCUAAGCUGUAUGAAUAUAUCCAUUACAGCAAUUGUCCCAUGCUGACUUCCGGGUUUCAGACCAGACAUGGGUUAGAGGCCACUGUGCCAUUUUGUGGUCCAUACCUGGAGAGUUUGUCUUCUCACAUUUCACCUUCGUUGCUUAUUGCUUCCUGCACUGUCACACCACAAGCCAUUCAUUACCUUGACAGUGUUGCUUACCAUCAGGUACUGCAGAUCUCUUCCCAGAUGUUAUUCAAAACCAAUUGUACUGUACAGUAAAUUAGCGAAUUUUCUGAACACUAGGUUAUAUUUUGUGUGUGAUUGAGAUUCAACUUAAUGAAAGAUUGGCAUGGCUUUAAUUUUCUACCAAGCCACCUACAGUGGAAUGCUGGCAAUGGUUUACUCUCCACAGCAAAAUGACAGCCACAGAAAUGGGGCCCAGGUGAAAAUUUCUCUUUACACAUUACAGGAAUAGAAAACGCUAGCCAAAUUUGCCAAAUACACAGGUUUAACCUUUUUCUUGCAGCUGAAGAUAAAAAAAUAAUGGAUAGAAGUAUACAAGAGUGAGCAAUGCCAGCUGUUCCAAAGUUUUGCAGCAUUUUCUCUUUACUGAAGUCAUAUGGAUAUGUGCCUCUCCCACCUCUGGCUGUGCCCAAUAUUAUGAAAGAGGUGGCCUGAGGAGGGUGUUCUAGGCCCCUCAGGAGGUGUGCAGAGAAAGUCAUUUCAUUUCCAUUGACACUCCAAGUGUGCACAGCAAUCGUUGGGAGCACCCUAAAAGGUUAAAAGGAAAUGAGCCAUGCUUGAAGCUCUUCGUUCUGUGCUGAUACCCUUCCAUCACUGUGGCGCUGAAUAUAGAAGCAGCCGCAGAGCUGGUAUACCAGCAGCUUGUGCAGUGCACCUGAAUGUAAUAGUGCUUCCUGCCCACCCUUUCUCUUACGCCUUCUACCCCCAUGCAACAUAGAGCAGGCUAAUAAGUAAACGUGUUCAGCAGAUCAGUAGAGGUUACCCUGCUGGGAAUUGAAUAGAGGUCAAAUUAAUCUGUUUACAGUUCAGCCUAGCUGAAAGGGCUGGAAAUGACCUGGAGUUUUUGUCUUGGUUUUUUCAUGUUGUGAGUUUUCAUUCAUUACUGCUGUGUGCUUAUUUUCAUUCUUUUAAAUAACGAAAACAGACAUUCCAGGUUGAAUUCUGUAUUUAAACAAAAUAAUUCUCAGUGGAGCAAUAUCAAAGGUGUAAAUAUUAAAUAAAAUACCUGCUGAGGUUCUUUGGUCCAAA